rnacentral:tRNA from 1 species
GCCCCUGUGGCGGAAUGGUAGACGCGCUCGACUCAAAAUCGAGUUCCUUUAACCGGAGUGUCCGUUCGAGUCGGACCAGGGGCACCA